rnacentral:rRNA from 1 species
UGAAGUAAGUAAGGGCGUACGGUGAAUGCCUUGGUGCCAACAGGCGAAGAAGGACGCGGCAAGCUGCGAAAAGCCUCGGGAAGCUGCAAGCAAGCGAUGAUCCGGGGAUAUCCGAAUGGGGUAACCUGAUCGAGGCAAUACUCGAUCGUUCAUACCUGAAUACAUAGGGUAUGAAACGCGAAACCCGCUGAAGUGAAACAUCUCAGUAAGCGGAGGAAAAGAAAGAGAAAUCGAUUCCGUAAGUAGUGGCGAGCGAAAGCGGAUGGAGCCCAAACCGAAGGUAUUCCUUCGGGGUUGUAGGACCACGUCAUAUUCGACCAUACUGGAUAGUAGAACAGCCUGGAAAGGCUGGCCGGAGAAGGUGAAAGCCCUGUAGACGAAAUCCAGAGUGGGAAUUAGUGGUAUCCUGAGUAAUACAUCACACGUGGAACGAUGUAUGAACCCGCGCGGACCACCGCGCAAGGCUAAAUACUAGUUGGCGACCGAUAGUGAACAAGUACCGCGAGGGAAAGGUGAAAAGAACCGCUGUGAGCGGAGUGAAAUAGAACCUGAAACCGUAUGUCUACAAAGUGUCAGAGCAGAGCAAUCUGCGAUGGCGUGCCUUUUGUUUAAUGAGUCUGCGAGUCAGUGUUUGUGGCAAGACUAAGGGCUUCCGGCCCGGAGUCGCAGCGAAAGCAAGUCCGAACAGGGCGCAAUAAGUCGCAGGUACUGGACCCGAAGCGGAGGUGACCUACCCUUGGCCAGGUUGAAGCAUGGGUAAAACCAUGUGGAGGACCGAACAGGUGAACGUUGAAAAGUUCUCUGAUGAGCUGAGGGUAGGAGUGAAAGGCUAAUCAAACCCCGUGAUAGCUGGUUCUCUUCGAAAUGCAUUUAGGUGCAGCGUCACGUGCUGAUGCGCGGGGGUAGAGCACUGACAAGGCUAGGGGGCACACCCGCUUACCAAACCUUAUCAAACUCCGAAUACCGUGCAAUGGAACGUGGCAGUGAGACAGUGGGGGAUAAGCUUCAUUGUCGAGAGGGAAACAACCCAGACCAGCAGCUAAGGUGCCUAAAUAACGCUCAGUGGAAAGGAUGUGGGAUUACACAGACAGUGAGGAUGUUGGCUUAGAAGCAGCCACCAUUUAAAAAAUGCGUAAUAGCUUACUCAUCGAGUGAUCCUGCGCCGAAAAUGAUUGGCGAUCAAGCGUUAUACCGAAGCUCUGGACUUUGCCGCAAGGCAGAGUGGUAGAAGAGCGUUGCAUGCGCGUCGAAGGGCGAUGGCGACUGACCCUGGAGCACAUGCAAGUGAGUAUGCAGACAUGAGUAACGUUAAGCCGGGUGAAAUCCCCGGCCGCCGUAAACCCGAGGUUUCCAGGGCAACGUGUUUCGUCCCUGGGUUAGCCGGGACCUAAGCCGAGGCCGAGAGGCGUAGGCGAUGGACAUCAGGUUAAUAAUCCUGAGCUCGCAACCCUUAAACUGGGGGGACGCAUGAGAAAAGAUGACUAGGUUAUUGAAUUCCGAGUUGAGUCCACGGACUCAGCGCAUCAUUGGAUCGAGUGCCAAGAAAAGCCCCAGCGUAUGCUAAGCGACCCGUACCGCAAACCGACACAGGUGGGUGGGUAGAAUAUACCAAGGCGUAAGAGUGAAACCUGGUUAAGGAACUCGGCAAAUUAGCCCCGUAACUUCGGAAGAAGGGGUGCCUGCAGCGAUGCAGGCCGCAGAGAAAUGGCCCAACCGACUGUUUAUCAAAAACACAGCACUCUGCAAAGACGCAAGUCGAAGUAUAGGGUGUGACACGUGACCAAUGCCGAAAGAUUAAGGCAAGGGGUUAGCCGCAAGGCGAAGCUCUAAACCCAAGUCCCGGUGAAUGUCGGCCGUAACUAUAACGGUCCUAAGGUAGCGAAAUUCCUUGUCGGGUAAGUUCCGACCUGCACGAAUC